UUUCUGCUAGCGAAGAAGUGUUUCUUCAUUAAAAAUACAUAAAUUUUCUUUUGAAUUUUACCAAAAUAAAGAAAAUCAUAUUUUACAGAGUUAAAGAAAAUUUGUUGAUUCCCAGGUUGUGGUAAAAAUGGCUUCACAGCCAGUCGAAACUCAAGGGCUUCAACCGAAGUCUAAACGACCUUCAGAUUCUGCCUUUAAACAACAGCGAUUGCCUGCCUGGCAGCCAGUUUUAACAGCUGGCACCGUCCUUCCCACCUUCUUUAUCAUUGGCAUUCUCUUUAUACCUGUUGGAGUUGCCCUGCUCUAUUUCUCCGAUGAAGUUAGUGAACAUGUUAUCGAUUACACCAAUUGCAUACAAGUGGGCCAAAGCAAUUUAACCUGUUCGGAAUAUUUGGUUACAAACCCAACUGGUGCAACAUGUAAAUGCCAAAUAGAUUUUAAAUUGGAAAAGGAUUUUGUGGGUAAUGUCUAUAUGUAUUAUGGUCUUAGUAACUACUAUCAAAAUCAUAGACGUUAUGUGAAAUCUCGCGAUGAUGAUCAGCUUUUGGGUCGUCUCUCACUUACACCAUCUACAGACUGUAUACCAUUUGCUUAUGACGAUAUCGAUACUGGAGUACAAAAGCCUAUAGCGCCAUGUGGAGCCAUAGCAAAUUCAUUAUUUAAUGAUACAUUAACUUUAAACUAUGGUACUGUUUUAGUACCUUUACUAAAUACCGGUAUUGCAUGGCCUUCUGAUAAACAAAUCAAAUUUCGUAAUCCCGAAGGUAAUUUGGAAUCUAUAUUAAGAGAUCAUUAUGCUAAACCUAAAUUCUGGACUAAGCAAUUGUGGGAAUUGGACAAGGAAAAUCCCGAUAACAAUGGUUUUCAAAAUGAAGAUUUAAUUGUUUGGAUGCGUACAGCUGCUUUGCCCAGUUUUCGUAAAUUAUAUCGACGCAUAGAUCAUUCCAAGACUAAUUUUGAAAAUGGUCUUAAAAGUGGCCAAUAUUCUUUAUAUAUUGAUUAUCAAUAUCCCGUUUCGGCUUUUGAUGGUUCCAAGAAAAUGAUUUUGUCGACCACAUCUUUGUUGGGUGGAAAAAAUCCCUUCUUGGGAAUUGCUUAUAUUGUAGUCGGUUGUAUUUGUCUUAUAUUGGGCAUUGCAUUGCUUAUCAUACAUAUUAAAUGUAGUAAAAGAGUUACCGACGUCACUUCUGAUUUACUCCACAAGGAUUAUCAAUGAUUUCCUUCACUUACAUACAUUCACCAGAGAAAACCCCCACCAACGAAAUUCCUUAUGGUAAAAAAUACAACAGCACGUUGGCGUUACAGUACAGAUGUCAUUAGAAGAUACAACUAAACCAUAAAAUCAUCCUAUUGGAUUUGCAUUAAAUGUCAUUUAUUUCCACAGCACUUACAAUUCCCUUAUUGCCAGUUCAUAAAUUUCCCUGCUCAAUUUCCUAUAGUGUUACAGUGAAUAGUAGAUUCUUAAUUUCAAGUUUCAAUUGUAUUUUUUAAGGACGCGCUUGGAAACAGCACGUUGAGUAUACAGGUUUAACCUUUUGAACAUCAAAAAUUAAUGCGGAAAUGAUCAAUGUCAAUCCUCGUACACCAUAUUCAUAAAUGAUAACAGACAAAACAUGUUAAAGUAUAAGAAAGAUUUGUAUUUCUUUUAAACAUACUACAAAUUCAAGUUAUUAAUUUUAUUAUUUCAAUCAUUAUCUUGGUUUGUUGUCGCACUCCUCUCCUCCCUGUUUCAGUUUUCUUUUUGUACGAGUAUUUUUUACAAGCCUUUCUUCUACACUUCAGACAUUUGUGCAGUCAGACAGACGAGGAUUAUCAUGGAAACUUUGAAAAACAAGGUUAUUAAUGUUGUCUUGACGUAUAAAAGUGUAAUUUAUUAUUUUAUUGUAUUAUUUUAAACUUACUUUAUUUUUAAACUUUUUAAAAUUCAGAAUUCUUCAAUUAUUUUAUUAAAAAACCGUUUAGUUAUUAUUUUUGUUAUCGGGCUUAGUGUCAUUUCCAAAAAUAGUACCAAAAAUCAACAGCAUCAUCAAAAAUUUGGAAAUGGGCCUAUAGUUAAGUACAUACUAAAUAAUGUUAAAAAUUAUUUUUUGUUAUUUUCUUUUAAAGUUUAAAUGUAUUACACACCUACACAACUAAAUAUACAUAAAUAUAUAGUAAAUACAUACUAUAGUAUUAAAUAAAUAUAUUAAGCACCUUAUUUAUUACAAAUAAAAUUCACUUGUGAUCUUUUAAACUACAAAAAUGAAUACGAACUAAUAAAAUAUUGAACUUAAAGUACAA